GGAAUUAGCCUUGGACUGUUCUGGUCAGCAGGUAGUUUCUCAAUGGACAGUAUUCUGAUUUCGCUUCUCUGGGUGUAAGAAAUAAGGAGAAUGUCAAGUUGACUAAAGCAACCUGUUUACAUAAAUUGAUCUGGAAGAUAUAUGGGGGCCCUCAGCAUCAAUGACAGAACCAUCCCUCAGCCCCUCUAUUCUUCAGCUUUCCCUGGAGAAGCAGAGCAGAGAUGGUGCUUUCCUCCUGGAUGCAGGCUCUGUGAGUAGUGUGACUUCCUGACCUCACUGUACCUCUGGUCCUUUUUAGCAUUUGGUUUC
rnacentral:lncRNA from 1 species